CCUACGGGGGGCAGCAGUGGGGAAUAUUGGACAAUGGGGGGAACCCUGAUCCAGCGACGCUGCGUGAGUGAAGAAGUAUUUCGGUAUGUAAAGCUCUAUCAGCAGGGAAGAAAGGAAUGACGGUACCUGACUAAGCAGCCCCGCCUAACUACGUGCCAGCAGCCGCGGUAAGACGUAGGGGGCAAGCGUUCUCCGGAUUUACUGGGUGUAACGGGAGCGUAGACGGUUACGCAAGUCUGGAGUGAAAGGCGGGGGCCCAACCCCCGGACUGCUUUGGAAACUGUAUAACUGGAGUGCAGGAGAGGUAAGUGGAAUUCCUAGUGUAGCGGUGAAAUGCGUAGAUAUUAGGAGGAACACCAGUGGCGAAGGCGGCUUACUGGACUGUAACUGACGUUGAGGCUCGAAAGCGUGGGGAGCAAACAGGAUUAGAUACCCCAGUAGUC
rnacentral:rRNA from 1 species